UACGUAGGGUGCGAGCGUUAAUCGGAAUUACUGGGCGUAAAGCGUGCGCAGGCGGUUUGGCAAGUCAGAUGUGAAAUCCCCGAGCUCAACUUGGGAACUGCGUUUGAAACUGCCAGACUAGAAUAUGUCAGAGGGGGGUAGAAUUCCACGUGUAGCAGUGAAAUGCGUAGAGAUGUGGAGGAAUACCAAUGGCGAAGGCAGCCCCCUGGGAUAAUAUUGACGCUCAUGCACGAAAGCGUGGGGAGCAACAGGAUUAGAGUACCCGGGUAAGUCCGAA
rnacentral:rRNA from 1 species